rnacentral:rRNA from 1 species
UACGUAGGGUGCAAGCGUUGUCCGGAAUUACUGGGCGUAAAGCGUGCGCAGGCGGUUUGUUAAGUCUGUUGUGAAAUCCCCGAGCUCAACUUGGGAAUUGCAAUGGAUACUGGCAGGCUGGAGUAUGGUAGAGGAAGGUGGAAUUCCCGGUGUAGCAGUGAAAUGCGUAGAGAUCGGGAGGAACACCAGUGGCGAAGGCGGGUCUCUGGGCAACAACUGACGCUGAGGAGCGAAAGCGUGGGGAGCGAACAGG